rnacentral:ncRNA from 1 species
UUUAUUUUUUUUUGUAUACAUCGGGGGAUCGUGAAGAUUUUAUCGGUGAGUAUGUAGACUCGGAAUGACAAAGAUGAAUCUUGAAUAAUCAGACAUAGAAUGAUAAGGUUGUAUGUCAAAAGGGAAACAGCCCAGAACAAGAGUUAAGGUUCCAAAAUUAUUAUUAAGUGAAAUAAAGAAAGUUUUUAUAUAAGUCGACAAGAAGAUGGGCUUGGAAGCAGCCAUAAUUUAAAGAUCUCGUAACAGAGCACUUGUUAAAUCUUAAAAGCAUCGAAAAUUUAACGGAUCUAAAUAAUAUACCGAAACCUUGUCCAUAUGUAACAUUAGUAAUAAUAUGCUAUUAAUGUUAUUUGAUGGGGUAGCAGAACGUUGAGUGAAUCUUAGAUUUUUUUUUAAACUAAAUAUAGAUGAUAACUCAAGUGAGAAUGGUGACAUGAGUAACAAAAAGAGUUUAAGGUACCUAAAAGGUAUCUUAGAGUCUCGCCUAAAGCUUAUGGCUACGUCAAGUAACGGCCUCUAAGUUUAUAAUCUGAAGAUUAUGACGAUGAGAAAAUAACGCGCAGAAGUGCGCUGCUUUGAUACUUAUGGUACCAACAUUUAAAAGUGAAAAUUGUGCAGGAAGGAUCAGUAUCCUUUCAUUCGCAA